AGAGAGGAGGCUAUGUAGGGAGGAGGAGCAAUCUGAGGAGGAGGUGCGGCAACAGUAGCAAGUGGUGGUCUGGUACCUCCAUCCCUAGCCCCUCUACAUCAUUCAACCGCCGGCUGGCCGGCUCAGCCUUUUUCGGCCCCAUCUCUCCUCCUCUACAUCCUUGCGAUUCAAGAUAAGGUGCUCGAGGAAAAUCAAACGAAGCUGUAGGUACAGAGUUGGAACUGGAGCUACGAGUUUGGAUAAAGUAGGUGGAUAAACAUUUACGUUUAUUUGAUGGGUCUUACCUAUUUGGUUUCGCUUCCAAUGCAAUGGGGUGCACGACGGGGUGUGCGAGGUACUGGCCAUCUCAGAGUUGAGCUAUGCGUUUCUAAGUGCACUUUGUUUCUCCCUUUGCAACGACGUGACUUUAGCGGCUCUGAGUUCUCUGAGACGAUUGACCUAAAGCAGGGUUCCAUAUUCAUUGAUUCUCGAAGAGUUCCUUUAUUCGUACCACGGUUGAUUUAUACAUAUCGGUUUGACCCUGAUUUUGUUGAAUUUCAUGGGAAAUGUUGCGAAGAUCAGCCCUAGAUAUGGACACAUCACGUGACAUGCUCUUUCUCUAUGGAACUUUCAAUAUUGCAAUGGAAACAAGAAAUUUUAUUGAAGUUUGUUUUCGAGGACCUUGAGUAAAUAGGGAAUCCACCAGGGGGGAACCAUCUGACCUAAAGGUUAAAGAAAGCAUGCCAUCCUUAUUUUCAGAUAACCGUUGAUGUAGUUAUGCACGUGUUUUAAAUGCUACUGCUGUAGUUUUCAAAAUAGGAUCAUAUAUGUGUUCAGGUCCCCUUCCAGUUUUAUCUCAUCAUCUUCUAUCAUGCUUAACUUUUUAUUUAUUUAGACUAAGGCCAAGUGGUGGGAGUCCAUUUGUGCAGCAGCUCGCAUAACCUAUCAGUCUCCUAGGUUUACAAGCUGCAAGGUGGAUAAGUUUAUCCCUAUGGGAUGUCAUGAGGCUGCUUCUGUGAUGAAAGGUUCAGUGUUAGCUUUUAUGUUCUCCACACAGAAGGUUAUUGGAGGUUUCUACUUAAUGAGCAUUGAUUUUCUCAGGUUUCAGUCAUCCAUGCCGUCUAUUUACAAGCGGCAAAACCAUCAGUUUUUAAGUAAGCUAAUGGACUGGGCAUUGGUGACACAGUUGGAGCACGGAAAUGCA